AGCAGCCGCGGUAAUUCCAGCUCCAAUAGCGUAUAUUAAAGUUGUUACAGUUAAAAAGCUCGUAGUUGAAUUUCGGGGUUCUACCGUUGGUCGGGCUUUGUCUGUACUGACGUGUAGAAUUUCUACCUUCUGGGGAACCAUCAUGUUAUUAAUUUAACGUGGUGGGAAACCAGGACCUUUACCUUGAAAAAAUUAGAGUGUUCAAAGCAGGCUUAUGUCUGAAUACAUUAGCAUGGAAUAAUAGAAUAGGACGGUGGUCCUGUUUUGUUGGUUUCUGAAUCACCGUAAUGAUUAAUAGGGAUAGUUGGGGGCAUUAGUAUUCAAUUGUCAGAGGUGAAAUUCUUGGAUUUAUUGAAGACUAACUUCUGCGAAAGCAUUUGCCAAGGAUGUUUUCAUUAAUCAAGAACGAAAGUUAGGGGAUCGAAGACGAUCAGAUACCGUCGUAGUCUUAACCAUAAACUAUGCCGACUAGGGAUCGGACGAUGUUAAUUUUUCUUGACUCGUUCGG
rnacentral:sRNA from 1 species